rnacentral:rRNA from 1 species
GUAGUCCACGCCGUAAACGGUGGGCGCUAGUUGUGCGAACCUUCCACGGUUUGUGCGACGCAGCUAACGCAUUAAGCGCCCCGCCUGGGGAGUACGAUCGCAAGAUUAAAACUCAAAGGAAUUGACGGGGCCCCGCACAAGCAGCGGAGCAUGCGGCUUAAUUCGACGCAACGCGAAGAACCUUACCAAGGCUUGACAUAUACAGGAAUACGGCAGAGAUGUCGUAGCCGCAAGGUCUGUAUACAGGUGGUGCAUGGUUGUCGUCAGCUCGUGUCGUGAGAUGUUGGGUUAAGUCCCGCAACGAGCGCAACCCUCGUUCUGUGUUGCCAGCAUUUAGUUGGGGACUCACAGGAGACUGCCGGGGUUAACUCGGAGGAAGGUGGGGAUGACGUCAAAUCAUCAUGCCCCUUAUGUCUUGGGCUGCACGCAUGCUACAAUGGCUGGUACAAACGGCUGCAAUACCGCAAGGUGGAGCGAAUCCGAGAAAGCCAGUCUCAGUUCGGAUUGGGGUCUGCAACUCGACCCCAUGAAGUCGGAGUUGCUAGUAAUCGUAGAUCAGCAACGCUACGGUGAAUACGUUCCCGGGGCUUGUACACACCGCCCGUCACAUCACGAAAGUCGGUAACACC